rnacentral:rRNA from 1 species
AUUGAACGCUGGCGGCAUGCCUUACACAUGCAAGUCGAACGGCAGCACGGGGGCAAUCCUGGUGGCGAGUGGCGAACGGGUGAGUAAUGUAUCGGAACGUACCUUUCAGUGGGGGAUAACGUAGCGAAAGUUACGCUAAUACCGCAUACGACCUUGGACCGGGAGGUUUUAGGUGAAAGCGGGGGAUCUUCGGACCUCGCGCGAAAAGAUGAGCCUAUGUCGGAUUAGCUAGUUGGUGGGGUAAAGGCCUACCAAGGCGACGAUCCGUAGCUGGUCUGAGAGGACGACCAGCCACACUGGGACUGAGACACGGCCCAGACUCCUACGGGAGGCAGCAGUGGGGAAUCUUAGACAAUGGGCGCAAGCCUGAUCUAGCCAUGCCGCGUGAGCGAUGAAGGCCUUAGGGUUGUAAAGCUCUUUCAGUGGGGAAGAUAAUGACUGUACCCACAGAAGAAGCCCCGGCUAACUCCGUGCCAGCAGCCGCGGUAAAUCUCG